rnacentral:rRNA from 1 species
CUCCAGACUCCUACGGGAGGCAGCAGUGAGGAAUAUUGGUCAAUGGGCUUACGCCUGAACCAGCCAAGUCGCGUGAGGGAAGGCUGCCCUAUGGGUUGUAAACCUCUUUUGCCGGGGAGCAAAAAGCGGUACGUGUACCGCAUCGAGAGUACCCGGAGAAAAAGCAUCGGCUAACUCCGUGCCAGCAGCCGCGGUAAUACGGAGGAUGCGAGCGUUAUCCGGAUUUAUUGGGUUUAAAGGGUGCGCAGGCGGAAUGUCAAGUCAGCGGUAAAAUUUCGGGGCUCAACCCCGUCGUGCCGUUGAAACUGGCGUUCUUGAGUGAGCGAGAAGUAUGCGGAAUGCGUGGUGUAGCGGUGAAAUGCAUAGAUAUCACGCAGAACUCCGAUUGCGAAGGCAGCAUACCGGCGCUCAACUGACGCUCAUGCACGAAAGCGUGGGUAUCGAACAGGAUUAGAUACCCUAGUA